rnacentral:tRNA from 1 species
UUGGUAGUUCAGUUGGUUAGAAUACCUGCCUGUCACGCAGGGGGUCGCGGGUUCGAGUCCCGUCCAG